AGGGAAUCUUGCGCAAUGGGCGAAAGCCUGACGCAGCAACGCCGCGUGGGGGAUGACGGCCUUCGGGUUGUAAACCCCUUUCAGGAGGGAAGAAAUUGACGGUACCUCCAGAAGAAGCCCCGGCCAACUACGUGCCAGCAGCCGCGGUAAUACGUAGGGGGCAAGCGUUGUCCGGAAUUAUUGGGCGUAAAGAGCUCGUAGGCGGCUCAGCAAGUCGGCUGUGAAAUCCCGAGGCUCAACCUCGGAACUGCAGUCGAUACUGCUGUGGCUAGAGUCUGGUAGAGGAGAAUGGAAUUCCCGGUGUAGCGGUGAAAUGCGCAGAUAUCGGGAGGAACACCAGUAGCGAAGGCGGUUCUCUGGGCCAGUACUGACGCUGAGGAGCGAAAGCGUGGGUAGCAAAC
rnacentral:rRNA from 1 species